AUAUGAUGAAGUAAGUAAGGGCGUACGGUGAAUGCCUUGGUGCCAACAGGCGAAGAAGGACGCGGCAAGCUGCGAAAAGCCUCGGGAAGCUGCAAGCAAGCGAUGAUCCGGGGAUAUCCGAAUGGGGUAACCUGAUCGAGGCAAUACUCGAUCGUUCAUACCUGAAUACAUAGGGUAUGAAACGCGAAACCCGCUGAAGUGAAACAUCUCAGUAAGCGGAGGAAAAGAAAGAGAAAUCGAUUCCGUAAGU
rnacentral:rRNA from 1 species